rnacentral:rRNA from 1 species
GCGGCCACUGCUAUCAAGUUCCGACUAAGCCAUGCGAGUCAAGGUAUCGUAAGAUGCCGGCAAACUGCUCAGUAACACGUGGAUAAUCUAACCUUGAGUAAGGGAUAACUUCGGGAAACUGAAGGUAAUACCUUAUAAUUGCUUAAAACUGGAAUGUUUUUGCAAUAAAAGUUACGACGCCCAAGGAUGAGUCUGCGACCUAUCAGGUAGUAGGUGGUGUAAUGGACCACCUAGCCUCAGACGGGUACGGGCCCUGGGAGGGGUAGCCCGGAGAUGGACUCUGAGACAUAAGUCCAGGCCCUACGGGGCGCAGCAGGCGCGAACACUGUGCAAUGCGCGAAAGCGCGACACGGGGAGCUUGAGUGUCUUGGCAUAGCCAAGACUUUUCUCAUUCCUAAAAAGCAUGAGGAAUAAGUGCUGGGUAAGACGGGUGCCAGCCGCCGCGGUAACACCCGCAGCACGAGUAGUGGUCACUUUUAUUGAGCCUAAAGCGUUCGUAGCCGGUUUUGUAAAUCUUCAGAUAAAGCCUGAAGCUUAACUCCAGAAAGUCUGAAGAGACUGCAAGACUUGAGAUCGGGUGAGGUUAAACGUACUUUCAGGGUAGGGGUAAAAUCCUGUAAUCCCGGAAGGACGACCAGUGGCGAAAGCGUUUAACUAGAACGAAUCUGACGGUAAGGAACGAAGGCUAGGGUAGCAAACCGGAUUAGAUACCCGGGUAGUCCUAGCUGUAAACAUUGCCCAUUUGAUGUUGCUUUUCCGUUGAGGGAAGGCAGUGUCGGAGCGAAGGUGUUAAAUGGGCCGCUUGGGAAGUAUGGUCGCAAGACUGAAACUUAA